rnacentral:rRNA from 1 species
UACGUAGGGAGCAAGCGUUGUUCGGAUUUACUGGGCGUAAAGGGCGCGUAGGCGGCAAUUCAAGUCAUCUGUGAAAUCUCCGGGCUUAACUCGGAACUGUCAGAUGAUACUGCUUUGCUAGAGUGCAGAAGGGGCAAUCGGAAUUCUUGGUGUAGCGGUGAAAUGACGUAGAUAUCAAGAGGAACACCUGAGGUGAGGACGGGUUGCUGGGCUGACACGUGACGCUGAGGCGCGAAAGCCCAGGGGAGCAAACGGGG